rnacentral:rRNA from 1 species
UGGGGAAUAUUGCGCAAUGGGCGGAAGCCUGACGCAGCGACGCCGCGUGGGGGAUGAAGGCCUUCGGGUUGUAAACCUCUUUCAGCAGGGACGAAGCGGAAGUGACGGUACCUGCAGAAGAAGCGCCGGCUAACUACGUGCCAGCAGCCGCGGUAACACGUAGGGCGCAAGCGUUGUCCGGAAUUAUUGGGCGUAAAGAGCUCGUAGGCGGUCUGUUGCGUCCGCUGUGAAAUCUCGGGGCUUAACCCCGGGCCUGCAGUGGAUACGGGCAGACUAGAGGUAGGUAGGGGAGAAUGGAAUUCCUGGUGUAGCGGUGAAAUGCGCAGAUAUCAGGAGGAACACCGGUGGCGAAGGCGGUUCUCUGGGCCUUACCUGACGCUGAGGAGCGAAAGCGUGGGGAGCGAACAGGAUUAGAUACCCUGGUAGUCCACGCCGUAAACGUUGGGCGCUAGGUGUGGGAUCCUUCCACGGAUUCCGUGCCGCAGCUAACGCAUUAAGCGCCCCGCCUGGGGAGUACGGCCGCAAGGCUA